rnacentral:sRNA from 1 species
GUUGUUGAUCAAUAAUGUUGUUGUAGUAUGUUACAUUUAUAAUGAUUGCAAUUUUGUAUACAAAAGAUUUGGGGACUUUUCAUUUGAAUUUGUGUGUGUGUCCAGUUUGCAAAGACUUUAGCUGCUUCUUGAUAGAUUCCAUGUGUUCAGAGUAUUUGAGUAUGCCAGUAUGUAGUAUAGCUUCUGUCAGUUGCAUUGAGAACAAAUGAUACAGUCUCAACAUCAAAGUACAUGUACAUGUAUAGUAAAACUUAUUUUAAUGGUAGAAUGUGCCAUGGUUUUGCUCAAAUGAUAACUAUAUUGAAAUCCAAUCACACGAAAUCCAAUGGUUUAAGAGAGUAUCUUUACUUUUACUUUUCAAGAAUAUGAUUUAAUUUUAAAUACAAUUAGAUAAGAAGAAGAGAUUUACAUGUAUGAACAAAUUUUGGCAAGUUUUACCGUUGUCUGUUAACUGGGUACGAAUCGUAAAUGAGUAUCAUUUUCUGGCUUUUAUAGCGGUGCUAUAUUUUGAUUCUGUUUACUGGUAGUUUAUGAGUAUUUUGAUAUUUAUUUUUUUUUAUUUUCACAUACUUUGAAUUGGGUUUAUUAUAUUUUAGUGCUUUUUUUAAGGUUGUCUCACUAAUUACAAUAAGCAAUAUUUUUAAUAUUUUAAAUAAGGCAUUUUGAGUUGCUCAUUUUCUUAAAACUGAAUGAAAGAGCAACUGGAAAACAUUACGUGAGUUGUUUCUCGUGUACAUGUAUAAUUGAUUGCUUCUAUUGUACUUGAACAAACAAGGCUUAGUUUUACAAACAAAAAGGUAAACUUAGUCAAAAUGAGAACUACCAAAAAUGAGGUAUCUGGACUUUAAUUAUUAAGGACUAUGUAUGAUAUAAGUCAAGCUUUGACCCCAUAAUUCAAUAAUUUUUAAAGUGUUUCAGGUACGUUAAUUUUGACGUCAUUUUUUAGAAGAGUUGAUAUAUAUAUUUUUCACCCUUUUGUUUAUUUGUACCCACUGGCAGUACAUGAUGUCAGAAGUGACGCUAUUUUUGUAAUUCAAUCAAAAUCAGUCAUUAAUUGACAUUUUUCUUUUUUUCUUUUUUUUUAAAUGGGAAACAUAGAGCAAUUGCAAUGAAGAAAAACAAACUUUUUUUCACAUAUAAGUCUUGGAUAAAUACAUCUUUAAUGAAAAUAUGUUGUUUGUUGAAGCAAUUACUCAAUGUUUUUUGAAAGAAAAAAACCCGAUUGAAAACGAGCUGUUUUAUUUUAAAAAUGCAAAAUGGCGGGAAAAGGUUAACUUUGUGAUGUCAUAUUUCUCAAUUGUGGGUGCUUGAAUAAAAAUGAAAACUAUGAAGGCACUUAACGUGUAUAUAUGCACAAAGAAAACAAAAAAUUACAAUUAAAUGAUGGUCAUUUUAGAGGGGGCAUUUUAGGCUGAAAUUAUAUAUAAUCCUUUAAAAGUGAGACUAUUGCUAUAUUUGAAAAUGUUUAAAUUUAAAAUCAUAAGUGACUGUGUUUAAAGUAAACAUGGAGUGUGUAUUGCAUUAUAUGUAGGGCAUUAUAUUUAUGUACAAGUGCAUGUCUUAUGUUUUGGCAUUAGAAGGGAACUUGUAAUAGGAUGUGUGGAAAACAUACACUGUAGUUGAUUUUUUUUCUUAGUUGAUUCAUAUGUUUUUCUUAAAUUUUCUGGAGGAAAAUGGCAUUAAACUGAAUUAUUACCCUUCUUUCCAAGGCAUUUGAAAUUUGCUCAUAGUUUUACAUCCUGUAUAAUGUGACUAUCUUGUUAAAAAUAAAUUAUUUGACAUUUAUAUAUUCUUUUAAGUGUACAAGUAACUUAAGUACAAACGAUUGACUGAUGAUAAAUCCUUAGUGUCUAUAUAUAAAAAAAAAAAAUGAUUCAUUUUGUCGAUCAAUUGAAUGUGUUUGGUGGAUUAAUUUUUAUGUAUAGCUCUGUUGGUGAAUUUGUAUGUAGCUGUCAACUGUUUUCUUAAAGAAAUAUCAUAUAAAAACAAAAAUAGACUGUAUGGCCGUUCGUAUCUGUUAUUUCUCACAAAGACAUGACAAGAGGAGUAGAGUACAAAUGUUGCAUUGUGAUAGAACAUUGCUAAUUUUUUUUUUUUGCAUUACAUAUAGUCCCUGUAGCAAUAAAUGUGAUAGGUUUUUAAAAUACUUAGAUAUUUGAAUUAUUAUGUGGAUAUGGGGUCUACUCUAGUCUAGAUAUCUGUGUCAAUUGUCAAUACUCCACAUGUGUAAAAAAGACAGAGGGUUUUUUUCUUUUAUAUAAUUUAAUUAAUUUGCAGUCUCCACGAUAAAGUGCAAUGAUCUAACUGUUUCUGUUUGUUGAUUGUUGGAAAUAGUAAUUUAUUUAAAAUAUAUCAGAUUAUGAGUUUACAUGUGUGUUUACUUGUCUAGUAAACUUCCUUUUUUGG